GGAUGCGAUCAUACCAGCACUAAAGCACCGGAUCCCAUCAGAACUCCGAAGUUAAGCGCGCUUGGGCGAGAGUAGUACAAGGAUCGGUGACCUUAUAGGAAGUCCUCAUGUUGCAUUCC
rnacentral:rRNA from 1 species